UUUUAUAAACGAGACUUGCACCUUUUAUCUCAAAGAGAUAUAAUACAUAUGAUGUAAAUUUAAUUACUUGCAAUCUAUUCAAAAGAAAUAAAAGAAACACAGUGACAGUACUAUUAUGAACGUCAUGCUACAUUGCAAUAAACUCGUUUGCCAUUUGAAUUGUAGAAUCCGCUGAUGAAUUGACAAUCGAGGCAGUAACAUUUCCCGUGGCAGAAGUUAUUGUUCGGAGCGGACACGUUGGAGCGUUUGUCACAUUCAUAGACCAAGAGCUGCAUGUAUCGCAACCUUCGGCAGACCGCGUUAAUAAACGGCAACAGGACCAACGUUUUCCACUCCACAAGCCCAAGUGAUAACGAUCGCUUAAACCUGGAUUUUCACAGCAAACUAAAACAAAACAACAUGAAUAAUAGUUAAUUUGACUAUUAUUUCCUUAGUAGUCCCUUAGAUCCAUAAUAUAAUAUAAUACAAUCUAUGUAUAUAAGUUAUGAGAGAAAUGGAUAUUUACCAGCACGGAUAGCACGUAUCCAUUCAGAUCGAUCUUGCUCCCUUGCAGCAAGAAGAUAAAGAGUGUACUCUUGUCCAGCUUCUCGAUAUCCUAUCUGGAAUGGUAGUCCUGGUGGUACGUUACCUCCGCUACUACCUAAGUCAUUACCAGUUGUAUCUAUUUUUGUAUUCCCACUCCCACAUCCAGGAUUAUUACCAAGAUUUGCUGUUUCUACCACAUGGACUGUUUCAAUCGCAAUACGACCUCGUUCUUUGCGCCGCUGCAACAAGAAAUAAGUCGAUUCUUUAGUAUUCCACGCUCAUUAAAUAAAGAAAUUACAGAAAUGAGCAAAAGAUCGCGUAAUAAACGUAUUGCAUAAAUAUCUCCUCCUCAAAUUCUUGAAUUGAUAAUAAUGUAUCUGAUAAAUGAUAGAUUAAUGGUUCAUAGAUUACUAUAGCGUUACAUUUCAUUGUCUGCUUCAAACUAAUCAGAAAUUAAUCAGAACCGACAUUUCUUUCUAAUGAUAUCUAUUAUGUCUAAGUUUCUACUUAGUUAAAACACAUAGAAAAGAAAUAAUAAUUUGUUUACUAUUUGAUUGUUAAUUAUUCUCACAAUGGAUAUAAUAAUAUAUGAAUAUUCAAUCUAAUUAUUCAUUUUUUAUAUGCCACAAUUAAUUUAUUUAUAGCCGCAGAAAUAUAAAAUUAGAAAAAAGUUAACAAAGCCCAUUGAAAAGCUUAUAUAUUUAUGCGAUUUUUAAGCGAACUAAUGCAAACAACUGCGAUCCUUCGUAAUAGAAUAUUUUGUACUUUACCUCACUAUCGCUAUCAUAGUACACGAGAUGACGACGUGUGAGUACAAACCAACGUUGCUUGUAGUUAACAGGAGUGAAACGUUUCUUGUUUUGAGAACGUUUAACCAUAAAUCCUUGUCUUACCACGUCUGUUGAUUUUGAUUCCACCUUUGCAUCUUUCCCUGCCAUUCUCGACAGACCUUGUCAAAAAGAGAUUUUUAUUUCAAUAAAAAUUCUAAUAAAUAAAUCAUUCUAAUAAAUAAUUAACUCAAUUGGAAAUGUUUAUUGACAAGGAAACAUAUAAGAGAAAAGAACUGUUUUCAUACACUUUGUGAAAUGCAGCUUAUAAGAGGAUUUUACAGCCUGCAUCGUUUAGGAGUGCAAUAAUCUUUAAGAAAAUAAAAAUUUAAUCAUGACAAGACUUUUGUGCUUUAACUCUUCUGCAAAUAGAUCUUGUCUGACAAGUUAUGUGUUGAAAAAUACAGGUGUAACGGCGGCUCUUCUAAUCCUAAAAA